AGCAGCCGCGGUAAUUCCAGCUCCAAUAGCGUAUAUUAAAGUUGUUGCAGUUAAAAAGCUCGUAGUUGAAUUUCGGGGUUAGUAGAUUGGUCGUGCCUCCGGUAUGUACUGGUCUUACUGAUUCCUCCUUCUUGAAGAACUGUAAUGUCAUUAAUUUGGUGUUGCAGGGAAACAGGACUGUUACUUUGAAAAAUUAGAGUGUUUAAAGCAGGCUAACGCCUGAAUACAUUAGCAUGGAAUAAUGAAAUAGGACGUUUGAUCCUAUUUUGUUGGUUUCUAGGAUUGACGUAAUGAUUAAUAGGGAUAGUUGGGGGCAUUAGUAUUCAAUUGUCAGAGGUGAAAUUCUUGGAUUUAUUGAAGACUAACUACUGCGAAAGCAUUUGCCAAGGAUGUUUUCAUUAAUCAAGAACGAAAGUUAGGGAUCGAAGACGAUCAGAUACCGUCGUAGUC
rnacentral:rRNA from 1 species